UUUAGAUAACAUGCUAAUUUUAGUCUUGAAAGCACAUAAAUCAUGUAGAAAUGACAAUAUUAAUAUAUAGAAUUAGCAUGUUAUCAGUAAGUCGCUGUUUUUCACCUUCGUCGGGUGAUAGCUGUUGGAGGCAAUUCAGUGAUGCAUCUCACUGAUUUAUAGACUUUGUAAGAAGAUCUAAACAUUACCCGCAUUAUCUAUGUCCAAGGAGA
rnacentral:lncRNA from 1 species